GUAAGAGCUGAGCUGUGAAUCGCUUGUAGAAGAAGUGCGUCGUAUAGUAGAUAAUUUUGUGCUCUAAAAAUCUUUUUAGAAUAUCAAUUUAAGAAAUCUGUGAUACUACCGUCCACUCUCUCCAUUUUAUUUUUGAUUAAAUUGGUCAUUGUCAGUGGACAUUGUGGUCUCUUACUAUUGAGCAAAGUUUGAGACAAAAUAUACGUCGCUGGUGGACUUAGAGGUAUGUGUGGUUAUCAAAACUCGGUGGAAGUUUAUGACCCUGAUACGAACAAGUGGACGUUCGUAGCACCAAUGCUUUCUCGACGUGCCGGUUUCUCUUGCGUCGCGUUCCACGCCCUAGGAGGAAGAGACAAAGACGAAUACGGAGACUCAAACGAAUAUGAAGACCCAGACGAAGACAGAGACGAAGACCCAGAAGAAGACGAAGACUCAAACGAAUAUGAAGACUCAGAAGAAGACGGAGACUCAGACGAAUACGAAGACGAUGACGGAGAAUCAAAA